rnacentral:piRNA from 1 species
UCCACUCUAUGGGGGCAAUUAUAUCAUCU